UGGUAGAUGCACCCUGAUAACUCGCUCCCCUUGAUAGCUGCUGGCUACUAGGGGAUUUUUUU
rnacentral:sRNA from 1 species